GGAGGGAGCGAGCGUUGUUCGGAAUCACUGGGCGUAAAGGGCACGUAGGCGGCCGAGUAAGUCGUGUGUGAAAGACCGGGGCUCAACUCCGUGUACUGCAUGCGAUACUGCCCGGCUAGAGAAAGGUAGAGGCGAGUGGAAUUCCCGGUGUAGCGGUGGAAUGCGUAGAUAUCGGGAAGAGCACCUGUGGCGAAGGCGGCUCGCUGGGCCUUUUCUGACGCUGAAGUGCGAAAGCGUGGGGAGCAAACAGGAUUAGAUACCCUGGUAGUCCACGCCGUAAACGAUGGGCACUAGGCGUUGGGAGGAUUGACCCUCUCAGUGCCGCAGCUAACGCGUUAAGUGCCCCCGCCUGGGAGUACGGCCGCAAGGCUG
rnacentral:rRNA from 1 species